rnacentral:rRNA from 1 species
UACGAAGGGUGCGAGCGUUGCUCGGAAUUACUGGGCGGAAAGCGUACGCAGGCGGUCUGCCAAGUCAGGCGUGAAAGACCGGGGCUCAACCCCGGGAAGUCGUCUGAAACUGGAAGACUUGAGUACGGGAGAGGGGUGUGGAAUUCCCAGUGUAGAAGUGAAAUUCGUAGAUAUUGGGAGGAACACCAGUGGCGAAGGCGGCGAUCUGGGCUGAUACUGACGCUGAGGUGCGAAAGCGUGGGGAGCAAACAGG